UUCACAUCUUAUUGCUCUGUAAGUCAUAUCUGCUAUUUUUAGCACAAGUAUUGUCAUGAUGUGUUUGCAUAGUGAGCGGAUGCUUCAGAGCUCUGAGAGUGUUUAUAGAGCCGUGAGUUUAACACUUCACAACUGAACACAAACACACAAAACAUCAACAAUGACCUUCAUCAUCAUCUUCGUCUGGACACUUUUAUUCUCUAUUCAAGGGUGUAAAUCACAGAUCACAGUAACUCAAAGUCCUUCAGUGAAAACUGCUUCACCAGAUGAAUCUGUUACUCUUAGAUGUUCUACUUCAAUUCCUCCUUCAGGCUGUAACCCACCCUGUGUGUCCUGGUACUUACAGAAACCUGGAGAAGCUCCUAAACUCCUGAUAUAUUAUACAAACACCCUUCAGUCUGGAACUCCAUCUAGAUUCAGUGGCAGUGGAUCAAACACAGAUUUCACUCUGAGCAUCAGUGAAGUCAAGAGUGAAGAUGCAGGAGAUUAUUACUGUAUGGUUGCACACCACAGCGGCAGUUGGGCGUUCACACAGUGAUAAAGAGUCGUACAAA